AUUGAACGCUGGCGGCAGGCCUAACACAUGCAAGUCGAGCGGAUGAUUGGAGCUUGCUCCAUGAUUCAGCGGCGGACGGGUGAGUAAUGCCUAGGAAUCUGCCUGGUAGUGGGGGACAACGUUUCGAAAGGAACGCUAAUACCGCAUACGUCCUACGGGAGAAAGCAGGGGACCUUCGGGCCUCGCGCUAUCAGAUGAGCCUAGGUCGGAUUAGCUAGUAGGUGAGGUAAUGGCUCACCUAGGCGACGAUCCGUAACUGGUCUGAGAGGAUGAUCAGUCACACUGGAACUGAGACACGGUCCAGACUCCUACGGGAGGCAGCAGUGGGGAAUAUUGGACAAUGGGCGAAAGCCUGAUCCAGCCAUGCCGCGUGUGUGAAGAAGGUCUUCGGAUUGUAAAGCACUUUAAGUUGGGAGGAAGGGCAGUAAGUUAAUACCUUGCUGUUUUGACGUUACCAACAGAAUAAGCACCGGCUAACUUCGUGCCAGCCGCCGCUGUAACAC
rnacentral:rRNA from 1 species